rnacentral:snRNA from 1 species
GCGCCUAACGGCGUGCCU